AUGAGCACCGACUCGCGAAGGAGCAAAUCGCCGGAACGGGCAUCGUGGCGGACGUGGACGAGCAGAAGGCGCUGCUCCCGUCCUAACGCGCCGCCCGCGACAUCCGCCACGAGCGAUGGCGGCUCCGUGUCUUGCGAGCGGAGAAAGAAGCUAUGUUUGUGGAGAUUGACGCGGCGGCGGAGGAAUUUGAUGACGACACCGAGGACAAGGCCGACACGUCCACGGCCGCCACCAAUAGUGAGGAAGAGUAGAACAUGGGAGGCCGCCGGCGGUUGGGUCCCAGGAAGGCCACCACCAUCUUCUUGCCGGGCCACACAACCGGUGAGCUUGCCCACUUUGUGGAGGAGGAGGAGGCCACUAUUCUUCCCCUCGCUGAAGCUAAAACUAAACUUGGUGGGCUCAUUACCGGCUGGUGAGCUUGCCCGCUUCGCGGAGGCUAUUCUUCCCUUCCCGUUGAAGCUUCAUUUCCCGGGGCUCACGACCGUCCGGUGA
rnacentral:rRNA from 1 species